GGCUCGAACCCACAAACCGUGAGAUCAUGACUUGAGCUGAGGUUGGACACCCAACUGACUGAGCCACCUAGGUGCCCCUAAAGCUGUAAUUUUAAAGAUCAUCAAAUGAGCAAGUGUUAUGGUCCAACUCCAAAUCAAAAGAUAAGGAACCAUCCUGUGCUUAUCAUGAAGCCAUGGUAAGAGGGGGCUGCAUACUAUAGGUCCACAGAAAGGGACCUUUCUGGCAAGGAGCCAGAAGGGAGUAACAACAGGUGUUGAGGAGGAGAGGAGCCCACAACUGAGCAAUGUCUGGGAGGGCUGUGCUGGAGCAGCGAGAACAGCAGGACAACCUGAAAGACACAGCAUUUUAUUUGCAAAAUCUUUGCCAACUAACUUGAAGAAUGGAAGAAAAUAAUUCCGUCGCUAUCUCAAAAAGAACAUCUUUUA